rnacentral:rRNA from 1 species
GAUGAACGCUGGCGGUGUGCCUAAUACAUGCAAGUCGAGCGAACAGACGAGGAGCUUACUCCUCUGACGUUAGCGGCGGACGGGUGAGUAACACGUGGAUAGCCUACCUAUAAGACUGGGAUGACUUCGGGAAACCGGAGCUAAUACCGGAUAACAUGUUGAACCGCAUGGUUCAACAGUGAAAGACGGUCUUGCUGUCACUUAUAGAUGGAUCCGCGUCGCAUUAGCUAGUUGGUAAGGUAACGGCUUACCAAGGCAACGAUGCGUAGCCGACCUGAGAGGGUGAUCGGCCACACUGGAACUGAGACACGGUCCAGACUCCUAAGGGAGGCAGCAGUAGGGAAUCUUCCGCAAUGGGCGAAAGCCUGACGGAGCAACGCCGCGUGAGUGAAGAAGGUCUUCGGAUCGUAAAACUCUGUUAUUAGGGAAGAACAAAUGUGUAAGUAACUAUGCACGUCUUGACGGUACCUAAUCAGAAAGCCACGGCUAACUACGUG